UGAAAAUGUUUUGCAGUUCAACUUUUUAAAUAUUUACAAAAAAUAGAGUGUCCAUUUUUUCUGCUUCAUACAAAGACUAAAAAAAAUUUUUAUAUCAACUUCCUGUGGUAGCAGCCUCCUGUAGGUGGCGCUCUAGGCCACUGCCUUUCCUUCAGACUGCUUCGAGAUACGUGAGAUAUGCUCUAUGGAAUCUGUUCGAAAUAAGUUGCUUCUUAGGGAAGGUCUCUCACUUAUAAGAACACAUAAAACUUCUUUCUUUUUUUUACUGAAGAAACUCAACGGAGGUGAAAAUCCUGCUGAGUAGUUAAUCCACAUUAUUUUUAGAAGUCACCAUGUCCAGCUUGGGAAGAAGUUGUGUUGAUCACAAAUCCAACAGACAGUAAGAAGGUGAACUUCAUCUCACACACAGUGAAACAUUUUCCUUCCCACAACGAGCAGGCGGCGGCUGUUUCUCAUCUUAAUGAAUUUCUGAACUUGUUCGUUCAUUCCCUCUUUGCUGCCGAAAAAACCCCCCCCAAAAAAACAAGGCGUUGGCUGCCGAAGCAAUUGAUGUGUCAGGAGGGAGGAAGGACAAAAUGGAGUGAUAAAGGCGUUCACACACAUUUCUCCACAAAGAGG